rnacentral:rRNA from 1 species
GAUAAACGCUGGCGGCGCACAUAAGACAUGCAAGUCGAACGGAAGUCGUUAUAAAAAGGAUUGAAGAUUUAUCUGAUUGAGAUUUUAUAACAAUGGCUUUAGUGGCGGACUGGUGAGUAACGCGUGAGUAACCUGCCUACUAGAGGGGAAUAACAGUGAGAAAUCAUUGCUAAUACCGCAUAUGCCAUGAACAUCACAUGAUGAAAAUGGGAAAAGAGUAAUCUGCUAGUAGAUGGGCUCGCGUCUGAUUAGAUAGUUGGUGGGGUAACGGCCUACCAAGUCGACGAUCAGUAGCCGGACUGAGAGGUUGAACGGCCACAUUGGGACUGAGAUACGGCCCAGACUCCUACGGGAGGCAGCAGUCGGGAAUAUUGCGCAAUGGAGGAAACUCUGACGCAGUGACGCCGCGUAUAGGAAGAAGGUUUUCGGAUUGUAAACUAUUGUCGUUAGGGAAGAUAUAAGACAGUACCUAAGGAGGAAGCUCCGGCUAACUACGUGCCAGCAGCCGCGGUAAUACGUAGGGAGCAAGCGUUAUCCGGAUUUAUUGGGUGUAAAGGGUGCGUAGACGGGACAACAAGUUAGUUGUGAAAUCCCUCGGCUUAACUGAGGAACUGCAACUAAAACUAUUGUUCUUGAGUGUUGGAGAGGAAAGUGGAAUUCCUAGUGUAGCGGUGAAAUGCGUAGAUAUUAGGAGGAACACCGGUGGCGAAGGCGACUUUCUGGACAAUAACUGACGUUGAGGCACGAAAGUGUGGGGAGCAAACAGG